rnacentral:ncRNA from 1 species
UUUCACUCAGGAUAGCUAAAGUAUGUAAUGAAACUGUUAAAUUCGCUAAAGCGUCUGAUUGGAGAAUUGUGGUACGAAACGUUUUCAAUCUAUUCGUAAACUUUCAAUGAGUAUGACGUCUCGCUUGCUUGAAUAAAGCGUAGAUGGUGAAUUUGUGCUCCAAUUAGGUCAUUUUCGGUAAGUAGAACUGGCGCUAUGGAAUGAGUCU